rnacentral:tRNA from 1 species
GGGGCCGUAGCUCAGACUGGGAAGGGCAACCCUUCGUCUUAGGAGAGCGCUACGCUGAAGACGUAGGUGUCCUGGGUUCAAAUCCCAGCGGCCCCA